UACGUAGGGGGCAAGCGUUGUCCGGAAUCAUUGGGCGUAAAGAGCGUGUAGGCGGCUCGAUAAGUCUGCUGUGAAAGUCCAGGGCUCAACCCUGGAAGGCCGGUGGAAACUGUCGGGCUAGAGUCCGGAAGAGGCGAGUGGAAUUUCCGGUGGAGCGGUGAAAUGCGUAGAGAUCGGAAAGAACACCAACGGCGAAAGCACUCUGCUGGGCCGACACUGACACUGAGAGACGAAAGCUAGGGGAGCGAAUGGG
rnacentral:rRNA from 1 species